AACUGCCUCAUUUUUUAACUGUAGAGCUAUAGCUGAAUUGUUAGGCCUACUACGCUGCUGAAAUUUAAUGUUGGUCAUUAUGGUGGAACUUAAUAUUUAAUAACAAAAAUAUUCUGAAGUGAUACUUGGUAUAAAAAGUUUGAGAACCAAUGGUUUAAAGAAAUGGUAUAAUAUGAAAUCCUGCUUUUUAAGAACUUUUCAGUAAACCAUUUCUUCUUUCCCCUUGUAGAGUCAUCAAGGAUCCAGCUUGUUCUUGAAACAUUGAAGUUUGCGCUCUGCAAGUGAACGACGCCUUGUGGUCCCAUCCCAAAGAAGUUCAAAAUCACUCUCACGGACCUUUUCCUGGACUGUGCCCAGCUGGUGGAAUGACCUCCCAAUCUCAAUACGUACAGCUGAGUCUUUACUCAUUUUCAAGAAACAUCUAAAGACUCAUCUUUUUCAUCAGAACUUAACCAACUAAUACUAGCACUUUUCCUUGUUUUCUUGCCUUUCACAUUAAAAAAAAAAACCUGGCUGUGUUCUGUACUAGACUAACUGAGACUUGUCAUGGCACUUAUAUACUGCUGUUGUUCUCUUGUUGACCUGACUGCUUCUAUUGUUCUCAUUUGUAAGUCGCUUUGGAUAAAAUCGACUGUUAAAUGAUUAAAUGUAAAUGUUUAUACAGGUUGGUACAGAAAGUGCACAAGUGGGAGAGAGUGGAGAGGACGGCGUCAGAAUGGACCUAGCGCUGGGACACUUUCAAGGAUCACCCGAAGCACAACCACACUGUAUGCACGAGGCUGUUGGUUCUAACAUUUUAGAGUCCCCUUUAGUAGAAAUCUCAUUCUGCAUUCCCCACGGUAAAGAAGACACAGUCCGGGGGGUUCCCGUUAGAAAUCAACUGGUGGAAGGUUCCCUUCUCGAACUGUGCAACACAUUUUCACUGCACAAAUGUACACAUCUCUUGUAAUGAGACACAUUACUAAAACAUGUUUUUGACAGAAACUGUAGUUUUCCACCAAAAUAAAAGAUCCACUGGUUUCAGUCAUAAAGGUACAA